AGAGUUUGAUCCUGGCUCAGAACGAACGUUAGCGGCGCGCCUAACACAUGCAAGUCGAACGAGAAAGGGCUUCGGCCCCGGUAAAGUGGCGCACGGGUGAGUAAUACGUGGAUAAUCUUCCCUCGAGCGGGGGAUAACAUUCCGAAAGGAGUGCUAAUACCGCAUAAGACCACGAAGCCGAAAGGCUUUGAGGUAAAAGCAGGCCUCUAUACAUAAGCUUGCACUUGAGGAUGAGUCCACGGCCCAUCAGGUAGUUGGUAGGGUAAUGGCCUACCAAGCCUAAGACGGGUAGCUGGUCUGAGAGGAUGAUCAGCCACACUGGAACUGAGACACGGUCCAGACUCCUACGGGAGGCAGCAGUGGGGAAUCUUGCGCAAUGGACGAAAGUCUGACGCAGCGACGCCGCGUGGGUGAUGAAGGCCUUCGGGUUGUAAAGCCCUGUGGGGAGAGACGAAUAAGUGUUGGCCAAUAUCCAGCAUGAUGACGGUAUCUCCUUAGCAAGCACCGGCUAACUCUGUGCCAGCAGCCGCGGUAAGACAGAGGGUGCAAACGUUGUUCGGAAUUACUGGGCGUAAAGCGUGUGUAGGCGGCCGCGCAAGUCGGAUGUGAAAGCCCCAGGCUCAACCUGGGAAGUGCACCCGAUACUGCAUGGCUCGAGUACUGGAGAGGUUGGUGGAAUUCUCGGUGUAGAGGUGAAAUUCGUAGAUAUCGAGAGGAACACCGGUGGCGAAGGCGGCCAACUGGACAGAUACUGACGCUGAGACACGAAAGCGUGGGGAGCAAACAGGAUUAGAUACCCUAGUAGUCC
rnacentral:rRNA from 1 species